UACGGAGGGGACUAGCGUUGUUCGGAAUUACUGGGCGUAAAGCGCGCGUAGGCGGAUUUGUAAGUCGGGGGUGAAAUCCCGGGGCUCAACCUCGGAACUGCCUUCGAUACUGCAAAUCUCGAGUCCGGAAGAGGUGAGUGGAAUUCCUAGUGUAGAGGUGAAAUUCGUAGAUAUCGGGAGGAACACCAGUGGCGAAGGUGGCGACCGGGGCCAAUCAUGGCGCUGAGGUGCGAAAGCGUGGGGAGCAAACAGG
rnacentral:rRNA from 1 species